GGUGUAGCUCAGGGGUAGAGCACGACCUUGCCAAGGUCGGGGUCGAGGGUUCGAAUCCCUUCGCC
rnacentral:tRNA from 1 species